rnacentral:rRNA from 1 species
UAGGGAAUCUUCGGCAAUGGACGAAAGUCUGACCGAGCAACGCCGCGUGAGUGAAGAAGGUUUUCGGAUCGUAAAACUCUGUUGUUAGGGAAGAACAAGGACGUUAGUAACUGAACGUCCCCUGACGGUAUCUAACCAGAAAGCCACGGCUAACUACGUGCCAGCAGCCGCGGUAAUACGUAGGUGGCAAGCGUUGUCCGGAUUUAUUGGGCGUAAAGCGAGCGCAGGCGGUUUCUUAAGUCUGAUGUGAAAGCCCCCGGCUCAACCGGAGAGGGUCAUUGGAAACUGGGAGACUUGAGUGCAGAAGAGGAGAGUGGAAUUCCAUGUGUAGCGGUGAAAUGCGUAGAUAUAUGGGGGAACACCAGUGGCGAAGGCGGCUCUCUGGUCUGUAACUGACGCUGAGGCUCGAAAGCGUGGGGAGCAAACAGG